rnacentral:rRNA from 1 species
AAAUUGAAGAGUUUGAUCAUGGCUCAGAUUGAACGCUGGCGGCAGGCCUAACACAUGCAAGUCGAGCGGUAGCACAGAGAGCUUGCUCUCGGGUGACGAGCGGCGGACGGGUGAGUAAUGUCUGGGAAACUGCCUGAUGGAGGGGGAUAACUACUGGAAACGGUAGCUAAUACCGCAUAACGUCGCAAGACCAAAGUGGGGGACCUUCGGGCCUCAUGCCAUCAGAUGUGCCCAGAUGGGAUUAGCUAGUAGGUGGGGUAACGGCUCACCUAGGCGACGAUCCCUAGCUGGUCUGAGAGGAUGACCAGCCACACUGGAACUGAGACACGGUCCAGACUCCUACGGGAGGCAGCAGUGGGGAAUAUUGCACAAUGGGCGCAAGCCUGAUGCAGCCAUGCCGCGUGUGUGAAGAAGGCCUUCGGGUUGUAAAGCACUUUCAGCGGGGAGGAAGGCGUUAAGGUUAAUAACCUUGGCGAUUGACGUUACCCGCAGAAGAAGCACCGGCUAACUCCGUGCCAGCAGCCGCGGUAAUACGGAGGGUGCAAGCGUUAAUCGGAAUUACUGGGCGUAAAGCGCACGCAGGCGGUCUGUCAAGUCGGAUGUGAAAUCCCCGGGCUCAACCUGGGAACUGCAUUCGAAACUGGCAGGCUAGAGUCUUGUAGAGGGGGUAGAAUUCCAGGUGUAGCGGUGAAAUGCGUAGAGAUCUGGAGGAAUACCGGUGGCGAAGGCGGCCCCCUGGACAAAGACUGACGCUCAGGUGCGAAAGCGUGGGGAGCAAACAGGAUUAGAUACCCUGGUAGUCCACGCCGUAAACGAUGUCGAUUUGGAGGUUGUGCCCUUGAGGCGUGGCUUCCGGAGCUAACGCGUUAAAUCGACCGCCUGGGGAGUACGGCCGCAAGGUUAAAACUCAAAUGAAUUGACGGGGGCCCGCACAAGCGGUGGAGCAUGUGGUUUAAUUCGAUGCAACGCGAAGAACCUUACCUGGUCUUGACAUCCACAGAACUUUCCAGAGAUGGAUUGGUGCCUUCGGGAACUGUGAGACAGGUGCUGCAUGGCUGUCGUCAGCUCGUGUUGUGAAAUGUUGGGUUAAGUCCCGCAACGAGCGCAACCCUUAUCCUUUGUUGCCAGCGGUUCGGCCGGGAACUCAAAGGAGACUGCCAGUGAUAAACUGGAGGAAGGUGGGGAUGACGUCAAGUCAUCAUGGCCCUUACGACCAGGGCUACACACGUGCUACAAUGGCAUAUACAAAGAGAAGCGACCUCGCGAGAGCAAGCGGACCUCAUAAAGUAUGUCGUAGUCCGGAUUGGAGUCUGCAACUCGACUCCAUGAAGUCGGAAUCGCUAGUAAUCGUAGAUCAGAAUGCUACGGUGAAUACGUUCCCGGGCCUUGUACACACCGCCCGUCACACCAUGGGAGUGGGUUGCAAAAGAAGUAGGUAGCUUAACCUUCGGGAGGGCGCUUACCACUUUGUGAUUCAUGACUGGGGUGAAGUCGUAACAAGGUAACCGUAGGGGAACCUGCGGUUGGAUCACCUCCUUA